CUUUACACAGAGACACUGGAGCGACGACAAGCGCGCAAUGUCUGCUGCGAAAUUUGCGCUCGUCCUCAUUGUGGCACUAACAGUCCUGGUGAGGCAUGUAUCAAGUCUAGACACCAGACCUAUUCUGCCGGAUUGUCUGCAUCGACCUUGCUCGAGACCAGGAGACCAAGUGUGCCUUCCAGACUGCGACUGCCAUCAUGUCGGCGCUAGAUUUGUAUGCCUGCAAAGCCGUCGAAAUCUACGCCGCCGCCCUCCUAGGAAAAGAACAUAAAAGAAAAAGUGUUGUCACUGUUGAUCGAGCAUUAUACAGACAUCUUUUUUCUUGUGCGCUUUCCUUUUGGUAUACGUAAACAAUUCGCAGUGAUUUCGUAGUUUCUUUCUUACUCGCACACCUGUAAUAGUUCCACCCGUGAAGUGACAGCAUUCUGAAAUAAAUAAAUUUUCACGUGAA